UAAUAAGUGUUUUAUGGCACUUUUUAAAUCCAUAUCCACCUUGAUGUGCAAUGUCAGUCGAUCUUCUUCAUGGAGAUCGACCAAACAUCAACCUUUAUCUUUUAACUCUUUGUCUGAAAAAUAUUAUGAAUAAACAAUUCAAAAUA
rnacentral:misc_RNA from 1 species